AGGUAAUAGAUACCCGGGUAGUCCCAGCAGUAAACGGUGCGCGUUUGGUGUGAGCAGAUUCGACUCUGUUCGCGCCGGAGCUAACGCGUUAAACGCGCCGCCUGGGAAGUACGAUCGCAAGAUUAAAACUCAAAGAAAUUGACGGGGGGCCCGCACAAGCGGUGGAGUAUGUGGCUUAAUUACGUAUGCAACGCGAAGAACCUUACCUGGGUUUGGUACAUGCAUCUCUAAGGAGGUGAAAGACUUCCGAGGGUAGCAAUACCCGACUUUGUCACAGGUGCUGCAUGGCUGUCGUCAGCUCGUGUCGUGAGAUGUUGGGUUAAGUUCCCGCAACGAGCGCAACCCUUCGUAUGCUGUUGCUAUGCUUACGCAUAGCUCUCUGCGUAGACUGCCCCGUGAAACGGGGAGGAAGGUGGGGAGUGACGUCAAGUCAGCAUGGCCCGUUACACCCAGGGCUGCACACGUACUACAAUGCUCAGUACAAUUAGAACCUGCCCCGCGAGGGGUUGGGAAAUCAGCGAAAACUAGAGCUCA
rnacentral:rRNA from 1 species